rnacentral:rRNA from 1 species
AUGAGCAGGUUGAAGGUGCAGUAACAUGCACUGGAGGCCCGAACCGUUGCACGUUGAAAAGUGCUCGGAUGACCUGUGUCUAGGGGUGAAAGGCCAAUCAAACUUGCUGAUAGCUGGUUCUCUGCGAAAUCUAUUUAGGUAGAGCGUUAGAUGAAUACCAUCGGGGGUAGAGCACUGGAUGGGCUAGGGGGUCUCACCGACUUACCAAACCUAACCAAACUCCGAAUACCGAUGAGUAAUAUCUGGCAGACACACUACGGGUGCUAAGGUCCGUAGUGGAAAGGGAAACAGCCCUGACCGCCAGCUAAGGUCCCUAAGUUAUGGCUAAGUGGGAAAGGAUGUGAGAGUGCAUAGACAACCAGGAUGUUGGCUUAGAAGCAGCCAUCAUUUAAAGAAAGCGUAACAGCUCACUGGUCUAGAUAAGCCGGCCUGCGCCGAAGAUGUAACGGGGCUAAAGCCAUAUACCGAAGCUGUGGAUGCAACGUAAGUUGCGUGGUAGCAAAGCGUUCCGUAAGUCUGUGAAGCCUAUACCGUGAGGAUAGGUGGAGAUAUCGGAAGUGAGAAUGCUGACAUGAGUAGCGAC